GGCGAAGAUGAUUGUUUGCUAAUUAUUCUGACACCUCUUGUAUGAGAAUGGCGAAAGCUAUUCGUUGAGCAGAUAAAGCAACACUCUGAGCCUUGAUCUGGAUCACUUUAUUUUUUUUUUAAAUUGAAAAAAGGCCUUAAAAAUUAUUGAUUUUUUGUUACCAUUUGUGAUAAUUGACAAAUGGGUUAUUGAACGGAAAUUCAGGCAACCACCUUUUGUAAUCGCUCAAAUGGUAGGUGUUGUUCUGUUCGCAAAUAAAUUUCUUUUGCUCUUCAGAUUUGUUGAGAUUUAUGGUCAAUGAAGCUGGUCUAGUAAGCAAAUGUACAUU
rnacentral:lncRNA from 1 species